rnacentral:rRNA from 1 species
AAACUUGAGAGUUUGAUCCUGGCUCAGAACUAACGCUAGCGGCGUGCCUAACACAUGCAAGUCGUACGAGAAAGUUCGCUUCGGCGAGUGAGUAAAGUGGCGCACGGGUGAGUAACACGUGGAUAAUCUACCCUUCGGUAGGGAAUAACCCACUGAAAAGUGGGCCAAUACCCAAUAAUACUGUUUUGCUUCGGCUUCUCAGUCAAAGAUAGCCUCUAUCUAUAAGCCGUCGCCGGAGGAUGAGUCCGCGUACCAUUAGCUUGUUGGUGGGGUAAUGGCCUACCAAGGCGACGAUGGUUAGCUGGUCUGAGAGGACGAUCAGCCACACUGGAAC